GAGCUGAUCAUUUGAAUCAGGUGUGUUGGAGCAGGGAAACAUCCAAAACAUGCAGGGCAGUGGAAUCGAGGAUUGGACUUGAGAACCACUGCAUUAAUGUCAGACAUGGUUGGAACUAUUGAAAUUCCAGUCUGCCAUUUCAUACAAUCACCAGCAGAGGGAGCCAUCCUUUCACUGAAUUUGAAGACAGGAAAACAGAUUGCUGUGCACCUCCUGUGUGACAUUUAUAAUUCUUAAUUUCCUUCCCACAUUCACUUUGACCAUGUUUAUCUCACAUUGUAAUAAUUCACCACCAGCAGUCGGAGCCAAUUUAGACUCAUGUUAGAUCAUAAUUACUAAACACUCAGCCUUGCGUGCUACAGUGAUAACUCUCGCUUGUUAAAUAUGUAUUUAAUAAACCAUUAGCAGACUCUCAAUGUUGCUUUCAUUGAAUUGAACUGAUCCAAACUAUCCAAGAGACUAAACACUCUAUCAGUAUGAAGACCUUUAAAUGCAAAGCAGUGUCCCAGUCAGGCUUAAGAUCAAAUAACCUAAAGCUACAGCAUAAAUUCAGGUGUGCAGGAUUUAAAUAGUGAGCUCAUGUUGCUGAUGCAGGAAAGCGAGUUAAAAAUAAAGCUGGUGUUUUUUUUACAACUUCUCUUUGAUUGAGCAACAGCCCCUGAGUUUGGCGUAUUAUAUAAAUCAGUGUUACCUGAUAAAAGAAAAUGUUUCGAGGCACAUUGAACAGGUGGGAAAAUAAAACAUGUAGAAACUUUGUCCUCACUGAGUAAAUUUCCAUCUAUGAUGUACAUGUAUUGAUUUCCACUGAUCCAGAUCUAAGUAUCCCUCCAGUGUUUAUUAAGCUGUCUCUCUGUCUCUUUUGAUAAAUGUUUAACUGUUUUGUCUGAAAACACAAAAACAACCCUCCUAUUCCAGCAAGCUUUAACAGAUCUAAACACGUCACCUGCAAAUUAGCCACACCCGGACAGAGUCUACAUACGGCUUUGUGUUUUUCAUCGCUCCUCUGACCUGUUUGAAUUUGGAUUUAGUUUGGCUUUAAUAGGCUGGGCGGUGUAUGUGAACAUCCUAGAUGAGCAGAGAGUGGGGUAGAACACUAAACCAUGACAAGACAUAUGUUUGCACCUAUCAGUGGGUUAUUUAAUGUGUGAAGAGGUCAGGGUCUAUUAUACGCUGCCAUAUAUGACAAAUGUUGCCAUGGUUCCAACAUGCAUCUGAGUAUUAGACCUUUAUGUCAUGUACAGCAAAGUUAAGUUUCAAUUCAAUACUUGAAAAUAUGAUCAGUAUCCACACAAAUUACAUAACCACAGUUUAUGACUUGAUGUCCUCUGUUGUAACAAAAAUUCAAUUUACAUCCUCAAAAACAAGUGUCUUUGUUUCCCUUUUAGACGAGUCCAAUUUUACUCAUGGGGUUCAGUUUAUUUGAUCAGGAUGUCGCGUGACUUGUCUUCUGUUUUAAAGGCUUUUACAAAAUUUUAUUGACAUAAAUCAUGAGCCCAUGUGAGAACAUAUUGUUCCUGGGCCAUGUGCUCUGUAAAAUGAGCUCAUCACAUGAUGUUUCGACAUAAGAUUGAACCAUAUCACAGGAAACGAAAUGCAGAAGUUGCCAUGAUAGAAGCAGAACUAAAUGCAAACCAGAAUCCUCCUGACGAACAUCUGCCCGUUUUGUUAUGUUUAUUAGGGCACUUAUUUGGCAUCACAUAUCGGGAAUUUCACCAACUUUAUUUUGGAUGUUACAGGUGUCAGCCAGAGAAGGGUAAAAUGUAUUGAUAGUUGCGAGGUUAGAAGGAUGUAUGGAGCUUGUAUUCUAUAUUAUAUUGAAAAUAAGACUUCAAGUGAAAUCUACACUUAUCAUGAAGCACAUGAGUCAUGACUUUUUUGAAACUACACACUUUCCAAUGAAAUAAGGCACAACUAUUUCUCUGAAAUUCAAUUUUACAGGUUUGUGAUACAAAUACCUGAAUAAAUAUCUGAUGCAUGAUCUCACAUGUCUGCCUCUUGGUGAUCACAGACAGAGUAGAAAAUCUUUUUUACUGUUUAAACCUCUUCGCAGCUCCACUGCAGCAUCUAUUCUUAGACAAAGAGGUGCAAGACGGCCACAGCUAUGUGAUAAACAAAAGCACAAAGUGUCAAACCAAAAACAAACAUUUCAGCAAAUUAAAAUCUUUGAACGAGGUUUAAAUCGAGGCUGCAUGACCCUGGAGCGAGCUUUGAGGAUUGAAGGUGAUAUCUAUGUGUGAAAUCGGAGCUUUAAACUCGUCACCCUGCCUGGACAGCUUUGUCCUCCUUGUAUGGUAUUUGAAUAGAGGGUUUCACUUUUCAGGAAUCUCAAUAUUUGGGCUUUAACUUGCGGUCAAAAGAGGGAAACACCUGCAUCCUGCCUCAGAUUACCUCACAUUUACACUUGAUAUGCCUGUGACCUAGCUUUUUUCCGCCUAUCACUUAAUGCUGCAGUCACAGAGGUAAUGACACAUACUGCUGCAGCCUGUUCUGGGGUCCAGAAUCAGCUGUAUUUGUACCAGUGAGUCAUGUUGAACUCUGCUUGGAGUAAAAGUUGAUCACAUCUAUAUCCAUAUUUGUGAGUAUAUCUGCAAAAAGCAUCCUUUUAUCUGCAUAAAGGCUCAGGUUAAACAAUCUGCUCCACUCCAGCUGUGCAGCA